UACAGAGGUCUCAAGCGUUGUUCGGAUUCAUUGGGCGUAAAGGGUGCGUAGGCGGCGCGGUAAGUCGGGUGUGAAAUCUCGGGGCUUAACUCCGAAACUGCAUUCGAUACUGCCGUGCUUGAGGACUGGAGAGGAGACUGGAAUUUACGGUGUAGCGGUGAAAUGCGUAGAUAUCGUAAGGAAGACCAGUGGCGAAGGCGGGUCUCUGGACAGUUCCUGACGCUCAGGCACGAAAGCUAGGGGAGCAAACGGG
rnacentral:rRNA from 1 species